rnacentral:rRNA from 1 species
UACGUAGGGUGCAAGCGUUAAUCGGAACUACUGGGCGUAAAGCGUGCGCAGGCGGUUCUAUAAGUCAGAUGUGAAAUCCCCGGGCUCAACCUGGGAACUGCAUUUGUGACUGUAGAGCUGGAGUACGGCAGAGGGGGAUGGAAUUCCGCGUGUAGCAGUGAAAUGCGUAGAUAUGCGGAGGAACACCGAUGGCGAAGGCAAUCCCCUGGGCCUGUACUGACGCUCAUGCACGAAAGCGUGGGGAGCGAACAGG